UCCGGCGUAGCUCAGUUGGUAGAGCAAGCGGCUGUUAACCGCUGGGUCGUAGGUUCGAGUCCUACCGCCGGAG
rnacentral:tRNA from 1 species